AUAGCCAUAUAUGCCUUACAUAUUAAUAUUAUAAUAGUUAAUGGGUAAGGUGAAUGAAUUAAAAAAAAAAAGAAAAGAAAAAGGGACCAUACAUCCUUGCCUGUUCUUGCCGAAUGUGGGAAAAAGAAAGAGGAAAGAUAUUUUGAGGAUUUCGGCCAAGGAGAAAACUCAGAAUCUAAGGUUGAAAAAAAAGGGCUCUUUGAUAUUUGGCCUUGGUGAUUCUAAUUGAAGCUCAAGAGCAUAGAGGGGCAAAUUCGGAUAAGGGAAAAGAGAAAGUAAUCGAAUAGCCGUUGUAAUCGUUCGGUAACAUUCGAGGUUUCGUGCUGGUGUUAUGUUCGAGUUUUAUACCUCGCAGGCCAAGUGUUAGUGAAUUUGAUAAAGUAUAUGACUACGAGAUCCUACGCUAUGAUGAUAAAUUGAACUCCUAUUACACAUUAAGUGAUUCAGGUAUGUGAUAUAUAUAUAUUAUAUGUGAGAUUGAUCUGACGGGAAUUAAGAAUGUGUAAUGAGUAACAUAUGAAAAGAUGUUGUAAAUUCAUAUGUAUAUUUGUAUAUGUGUGUAUUCAGUUAUUAUGCAAAGUUACAAGAUAGUUUUCGAUAUGCCAUUUAACUAUGAAUUUUGAAAGUAAGUGUGGGUAAGAAAUGAUACACUAGUGAAAUUUGAAAGAAUUAAAGUUAAUCCGGAAGCU